UUAAAUAUUUCAAAUAAUAAUAAUAUUAUAAAUAAAUAAAAUAAAUAAAUAAUGUAUAUAACCUACUCGUACAUCGAUCUUUGAGAUAAGAAGGAGAUUUGAUGACAAAAGGUUGUGUAAGUUUUACUAGUGAAAGAUAAGAAUAAUCGAGAGAUUUAAUUGGGAUUUAGGUUGAGCAAAGCUAGUGAUUUAAUAAAAUGUUGGUAUGGGGAGUAUUGUGAGGUUGUUGUAGUUGUGUCGUGGUCAAAGGGGUCACUCCACUGCGUCGUUGGUGUUGGUCCUGAGCAUGACAUGGGCUAUGCUGUGAUAGAAGGGGACGUUCAACUUGUGGUUAAGGUGGUUAAGUGUUGUGAACGCAAAAUGGUGUAAAGGAUCUCAUAGUAAGAGACCAUUCUGAACGAAUGUGGACAUGGAGAUGUCACUAAGAGUUGCUGUUCGAUGGUGAGGUGGUGCAGAAUUGUUCUGUCAUCGUGCAGGUGACACUCAAAUAAUAAUUAUUUGUCAUUGUAUUAGGGUAUUAAUACUAAAUCACUGUGUUAGUUUGAAGUUAUAAAUAGCCAAGGAACAUCCGAAGUCAGGCGGCGUGUUAUGUGAGCGACAUUGAGGGAGUCGCUAAAAGUUGUAGUUGUUUUACAUUUGAGUUAUUUAGUAUCAUUCGAUUAAAGAUUUGUUGUUGAACGUUGAAUUGAAAUUUGUUGUCGUUACACCCUUAUGUGUGUGUUAUGGUGUAUUUGAUAGAAUUCUUAAUUGAUCAAGCAGAUCUUGAUGAAAUUUAGUUUUCUUAUUUUCAAAGAGUUUUUAUGAUGGUGCUCGCAAUGCGUUGUGAAGUGAAAUUGCACAGGAUCAUCAUUUGGUCGGAUUACAACAAGCUAUAAUUAUUGAUUAGUCAUUUUGCAAUGUAGGUUGGUGGAAAUACUUUCAUCAAGACCUAGCGCAGUUAAGUUUAAGUUUUGACGCAAUUUAACUAUGUAUAGGUGCAUGAUUGAGUUUAGCAGGUGUUAGCAGUGGACUGUGAAUGGCAGGGAGAACAGUCCUAUAUAUAUAUAUAUAUAUUAGAAUGAGAAACAAUAGCCAUUGGUUUGAAGUCAAACAACAUUGAGACUAACAACGAAUGAGCGGGUCAGCCAUAAUAAGCUGUGUGAACUCUCGGUGAACUUGGAAACGUCAGCAAUACAAAUAAAGUAACUUUCAACAGUCUACCACACACGUUUGCAACAAAAGUAUAUUGAAUUUCAAUAAGGAACUCUUAAAGUAUAAAACUGUCAUCUGGAUUAAAAAAGUUGAGUUCCUACACAGCUUUUGCCUUAACUGGAACUAUGUGGUACGGACAUCUCUAAAACCAAACAAAAGGAUGUUCUUAUUUUGUGAUAUAAACAUGUGUGAUGGUGCGUGCUCAUGCAGACGCAUGCUCAUGCAGGCGAGUGCUCAUGAAGGCAAUGCUGCAGAAGUUUAUGCAGAGCGCGGAGGACCGUGUUGUUCGCAGUGGCUCUGGUACAUGCUGUGGCACUG